CAGAGUUAUUACAACUCCCCAACCCCUGUGAACAUACCUCUUGUUGCCUCGGCGGACCGCCCCGGCGCCCUCGCGGCCCGGACCCAGGCGCCCGCCGGAGGACCUACAAACUCUUGUAUUAUUUGAAUCUUCUGAGUCUUAUAAACAAAUAAAUCA
rnacentral:misc_RNA from 1 species